UACGUAGGUGGCAAGCGUUGUCCGGAUUUACUGGGCGUAAAGAGCGCGCAGGCGGUCGUUCAAGUCGCGUGUGAAAGCCCCCGGCUCAACUGGGGAGGGUCACGCGAUACUGAUCGACUCGAAGGCAGGAGAGGGUAGUGGAAUUCCCGGUGUAGUGGUGAAAUGCGUAGAUAUCGGGAGGAACACCAGUGGCGAAGGCGGCUUCCUGGUCCAGCACCGACGUUCAGGCACGAAAGCGUGGGGAGCAAACGGG
rnacentral:rRNA from 1 species